rnacentral:lncRNA from 1 species
UGUUAUACCAGAUAAUGAACUCUUUUGCAGUGACAAUGUAGUUAAAUAGUGUAAUUGUUAUUUUAAUGAAUAUAUACAUUAAAUGAAUAAUAUUAAAAUAGGGGUCACGGAGGGUCACAGAAUUUGGCACCGGAACCAACGCUUUCGUUCCGUGUUUUCACCCGGUUGUUUUAAGACUUCCUGGUGUCUGCUUGCAGCGUGCAGACAGUCUAACCCUAUGCGUCGCAGUUGAAGUCGAGCUGGACUGUCGUCCGAUAAAAGGACUUCCACUGAAUAGCACUGAGGCAACUGCUGUGAUCCAAACUGAACAUAUUCUGCAACUACAAGUACAAGCCUUCAGUACAAAUCCAGAUGAGAUGGAAUCCCCAAGAUCUGAUGAAGUCGGACACGUCCCAGAAGAACCUGGUUCAAGUUAAGCUCAGAAUGAUGAUCAAGAGCAAGCAUUGGCAAGCCCCACAAUAAGCCAAAACACGUCAUCCCCGUGCAGAGAUCCUCGGGGCCCGUCGAGGAGGAGGAUGAGAACAGUGGCAUCCUUCACGUGCUCACGCAAGACUAUGAUGUCUACCACAUUGGCUCUGUGAGCCAUUCG